AUAAAAAAUAGAGGUCUGGGUGGGGCUGCCCACCCAGAUGGCAGUAUCUCUGCAGUGUUUCUGCUGUGUCACAUCUUCCAGUCCUUACCUGUCCUAUUUGGCAGAAACAGAAAAAGUACAUUAUUUCGUGUUAAAGAAAAGGAAGGAAGAUUACAGGAGCAAAUAGGAGAUGUGGUACAGAUGGCAAACUGAGGCCGAGAGAAAUCAAAUGGAUUGUCUGGGAUCACAUCAGAAAUACAACCAUGGUUGUGCAGG